CCCAGUUUGAAAGCACCAUGAAGAAGCAAGCUUAUGCCGCACUGAUUUUGGCGGCUAUAUUCAGUAAUUCUAGUGCACAGCACUUUGACUUCUCUAAGUAUAAUGUAAAAAUGUUUAUGAACACAUCACAGCGCAUAUGGACGUAUAAUACUACUCAAAAAACAAAUUUUUUUUGCAAAGUGGAUGACGUAAUCAAUAUAACUGAUCAAUCCGUGUGCUUCAACAGAUCUUAUUGGAGCUCGAAUUGGACAACAGAAAGCCUGGAAGGAACGUUCGAAACCGAAGACCCCAGCACAAUGCUCGUUGGUG
rnacentral:lncRNA from 1 species